rnacentral:rRNA from 1 species
GAUGAACGCUGGCGGCGUGCCUAAUACAUGCAAGUCGAGCGAACAGACGAGGAGCUUGCUCCUCUGACGUUAGCGGCGGACGGGUGAGUAACACGUGGAUAACCUACCUAUAAGACUGGGAUAACUUCGGGAAACCGGAGCUAAUACCGGAUAAUAUAUUGAACCGCAUGGUUCAAUAGUGAAAGACGGUUUUGCUGUCACUUAUAGAUGGAUCCGCGCCGCAUUAGCUAGUUGGUAAGGUAACGGCUUACCAAGGCAACUAUGCGUAGCCGACCUGAGAGGGUGAUCGGCCACACUGGAACUGAGACACGGUCCAGACUCCUACGGGAGGCAGCAGUAGGGAAUCUUCCGCAAAGGGCGAAAGCCUGACGGAGCAACGCCGCGUGAGUGAUGAAGGUCUUCGGAUCGUAAAACUCUGUUAUUAGGGAAGAACAAAUGUGUAAGUAACUAUGCACGUCUUGACGGUACCUAAUCAGAAAGCCACGGCUAACUACGUG